rnacentral:ncRNA from 1 species
UUAAAGACUGGGAACGGGAAGAGUAGGCGGUCAGCCCUUCAGAGAGCGGAAUGCAGCAGCUGUGAGCUUCCGUAGGAUACAGCCAGCCGAAGUCGCCCCGGAGUCGCCCGCUUGAGCUUCAGAAGGCCGUUACGGCCAUGAGGUUAGAGCGCGCCGGCCGCAGGCCGUUAUUUCUGCAUAGAGUGUCGCGUUAUGUCGGCCGGGUGUUCGUAAGGGUGCCGGCUCCGCCGUUAUCUUGGCGGAUGACGCGAAACAAAGGUGGUACCGCGAAAGAAUGACCUUUCGUCCUUUGA